rnacentral:rRNA from 1 species
AGGUAGGGGUCAGCGGAACGUUCGGUGGAGCGGUGAAAUGCGUAGAUAUCGAACGGAACGCCAAUGGUGAAGACAGCUGACUGGGCCUUUCCUGACGCUCAGGCACGAAAGCGUGGGGAGCAAACAGGAUUAGAUACCCUGGUAGUCCACGCCGUAAACGAUGCGCACUGGAUUGGUGCGGCUCUGACGCCGUGCUGGUCGUAGAGAAAUUGUUAAGUGCGCCGCCUGGGGAGUACGGUCGCAAGGCUAAAACUCAAAGGAAUUGACGGGGGCUCACACAAGCGGUGGAGCAUGUUGCUUAAUUCGAAGCAACGCGAAGAACCUUACCUGGGCUUGACAUGUAUGGAUUAGCUCUUGGAAACUUGAGUGACGCCUUCGGGUGGAACAUACACAGGUGCUGCAUGGCUGUCGUCAGCUCGUGCUGUGAAGUGUCGGGUUAAGUCCCUUAACGAGCGCAACCCUUGUCGCUAGUUGCCAGCGAGUCAUGUCGGGGACUCUAGCGAGACUGCCGGUGUCAAACCGGAGGAAGGUGGGGAUGACGUCAAGUCCUCAUGGCCCUUACGCCCAGGGUGGCAAACGUGCUACAAUGGCGUGUACAAUGCGAUGCAAGAUCGUGAGAUGGAGCAAAUCGCAAAAAGCACGCCCCAGUUCGGAUUGAAGUCUGAAACUCGACUUCAUGAAGCCGGAAUCGCUAGUAAUCGGAGAUCAGCCACGCUCCGGUGAAUACGUUCCUGAGCCUUGUACACACCGCCCGUCACGUCAUGGAAGCUGGUAGCGCCCGAAGUCACCCUGAUUCAGGGGUGCCCACGGCGAGAUUGGUAACUGGGACGAAGUCGUAACAAGGUAGCCGUAGGAGAACCUGCGGCUGGAUCACCU